rnacentral:siRNA from 1 species
CUAUAUUACGUUGUCCCUCGCAGA